UCUAAUUCUUCAAAGUUGUAUUGUCAUCGAACUUGGUAAACAGAUGAAGUUGCGUCUGUUAAAGUGCCCCUAACCUUAAAUUUUUCUUUGCUGGGAUGAGUCACUUUUCCAGUAGCAUACAAUUUUUGUUUUAUUUGGAAAUUUCACGUACAUGAUUGCCUUUUCCUAACCCUUGUCUUGCCUUAGCAAAAUAAAAUGUGUCGGACUUUUGACACUUCUUGAGGUGAGGGGCACUUGAAUGUUGUGAAAGGUUUGGCUCAUUCUUUUAUCUACAGCUGCAUUUGUUUACCGUUUAGCACACUUGGAUGUAGUAAGGACAAGAAUCAAUGAGCUCCUCUCAGCCUCUGUGCAAGAGGUUAGUGUGAACGAGUACAUGGGGGAUUUCUCUGCAGGUUACAAAAUUUGCAGUUUGUGAAGACUUCAAGGCUUAGUCUGAGAAUGAAACUCUCCUGGUGUAAGGCUGUGGCAAACAAUUAAGAAAUUUGUUCAGUGUGUCAAGGGAAGAAAGAAGGGCCAACUAGAUAGGGACGAAGCUUUUUAUUGCAGAGUAAUAUUGGAAGAAAACAGCACAAUUUGGGAAAAAAACUGAAACAUGCAAUUAAGAAAGCUGAGAACUCUCUAAUUCAACCAAUCCUCAGGUGCUAGGUCCUCAAAAUAUACAAGUUGACACAAAGGAAAACAUUGGAGGAAAGUGAAUUAACUCGGUAUUGGCCAGGAACACAAGAUUAGGUGAUUAAAACGAGAAAAUUAACAAUCUGAGUGGGGCUCAAAUGUCCUUUGUGUUUUGCAAAGUUAUUGUAAGCCAAGCAAAUCUUCUGUGUUAAUAAAUUUUCUCAUUAUUCAAAA